GACAGAGGUGCCAAGCGUUAGGCGGAAUCACUGGGCUUAAAGCGUGUGUAGGCGGAAUCGUAAGUACCUUGUGAAAUCCCACGGCUCAACCGUGGAACUGCUUGGUAUACUGCUUUUCUUGAGCCACUUAGGGGCUGUCGGAACAAAUGGUGGAGCGGUGAAAUGCGUAGAUAUCAUUUGGAACGCCAAUGGUGAAAACAGGUUGCUGGGGCUGUGCUGACGCUGAGACACGAAAGCGUGGGGAGCGAACAGG
rnacentral:rRNA from 1 species